rnacentral:rRNA from 1 species
CGAACGAUGAACCUCCUUCGGGAGGGGAUUAGUGGCGAACGGGUGAGUAACACGUGGGCAAUCUGCCCUUCACUCUGGGACAAGCCCUGGAAACGGGGUCUAAUACCGGAUACGAGUUCGGGAGGCAUCUCCUGGACUGGAAAGCUCCGGCGGUGAAGGAUGAGCCCGCGGCCUAUCAGCUUGUUGGUGGGGUAACGGCCCACCAAGGCGACGACGGGUAGCCGGCCUGAGAGGGCGACCGGCCACACUGGGACUGAGACACGGCCCAGACUCCUACGGGAGGCAGCAGUGGGGAAUAUUGCACAAUGGGCGAAAGCCUGAUGCAGCGACGCCGCGUGAGGGAUGACGGCCUUCGGGUUGUAAACCUCUUUCAGCAGGGAAGAAGCGAAAGUGACGGUACCUGCAGAAGAAGCGCCGGCUAACUACGUGCCAGCAGCCGCGGUAAUACGUAGGGCGCAAGCGUUGUCCGGAAUUAUUGGGCGUAAAGAGCUCGUAGGCGGCUUGUCACGUCGGGUGUGAAAGCCCGGGGCUUAACCCCGGGUCUGCAUCCGAUACGGGCAGGCUAGAGUGUGGUAGGGGAGAUCGGAAUUCCUGGUGUAGCGGUGAAAUGCGCAGAUAUCAGGAGGAACACCGGUGGCGAAGGCGGAUCUCUGGGCCAUUACUGACGCUGAGGAGCGAAAGCGUGGGGAGCGAACAGGAUUAGAUACCCUGGUAGUCCACGCCGUAAACGUUGGGAACUAGGUGUUGGCGACAUUCCACGUCGUCGGUGCCGCAGCUAACGCAUUAAGUUCCCCGCC